rnacentral:rRNA from 1 species
GGCGAACGGGUGAGUAACACGUGGGCAAUCUGCCCUGCACUCUGGGACAAGCCCUGGAAACGGGGUCUAAUACCGGAUACGACCCGGGGAGGCAUCUCCUCCGGGUGGAAAGCUCCGGCGGUGCAGGAUGAGCCCGCGGCCUAUCAGCUUGUUGGUGGGGUGAUGGCCUACCAAGGCGACGACGGGUAGCCGGCCUGAGAGGGCGACCGGCCACACUGGGACUGAGACACGGCCCAGACUCCUACGGGAGGCAGCAGUGGGGAAUAUUGCACAAUGGGCGAAAGCCUGAUGCAGCGACGCCGCGUGAGGGAUGACGGCCUUCGGGUUGUAAACCUCUUUCAGCAGGGAAGAAGCGCAAGUGACGGUACCUGCAGAAGAAGCACCGGCUAACUACGUGCCAGCAGCCGCGGUAAUACGUAGGGUGCGAGCGUUGUCCGGAAUUAUUGGGCGUAAAGAGCUCGUAGGCGGCUUGUCGCGUCGGAUGUGAAAGCCCGGGGCUUAACCCCGGGUCUGCAUUCGAUACGGGCAGGCUAGAGUUCGGUAGGGGAGAUCGGAAUUCCUGGUGUAGCGGUGAAAUGCGCAGAUAUCAGGAGGAACACCGGUGGCGAAGGCGGAUCUCUGGGCCGAUACUGACGCUGAGGAGCGAAAGCGUGGGGAGCGAACAGGAUUAGAUACCCUGG